AAAAGCCGGUCAAAGGAGAACAAGAAGGGGGCAUCCUGGGUGGCUGCUCCCAGGAAAAAGCCUGGUGGGAGGGCAGGCUCCUUGGACACGGGGACCCAGCUCCCCACCUCAGAGAGGCCUGGGAAAUCAUUCCUGGCAGUCGCCCGGCCUUGCCCAUCGGAUAGUAUUAGGGAGGGUGAGGGAAAACACUUCGUGGUCAGAUCAAUUUGGAAAACUUCCUGUAAAGUCGUGUUUGUUUCAGAGCUUUGACUAGGCUGAUGCGCAGUGUGAAUUUCCAGAAGUGGGCUCAUCAAGCUUUCCAAUUUGAGUCUUCAGAUAGAUGGACAGACCCACACAGGGGACAACAAAUCAACCGGCAAAUGAAGCAUUCAGCCAGCUUGGGAGUUCUGCUUUCCAUUUUAAAUUAAUACACUGGCCUUCUGGUUUGUACAUCGGUUGUCCUCCCAUGGGUCUGGCUGGCAGGCGUUGUUUUCUGAGGGGCUGGCUGU
rnacentral:lncRNA from 1 species